CUGGUCAAGAAUACAAGACUCAGGCAAACAUUGGUUGUGCUGCUUUAUUCAAAACAACUAUAAUAAACUGAAGAAAAUGGGAAAAUGGACCAGAUUCUCUCCAAGGAGGAUAUAGAGUGCUGAGGUCACAAAAUAUUCUGAAGAGUGAAAGGGUCUUUGUUGGUUAUUUAUGCACAUCAUAUCUUUUAACGAGCGUCCUUUGACAAAUAGCCCUGCGCUUCAACUUUUCUUGCGUUGCGAAGCUCAUCAACUCCAUCUCCUCUCUCAAACACAGCCGCUGCACCCAUCCCCGUCCCUGCAAACAUUUUUCCCAAUCAACAAUGCAUUUUCAGACACCGAUUUAGCGAUUGCGAGUGUGAGAGUAUAGAGUAAGAGAGAGAAGCUUACCAAUGCACAUUGACACUACCCCAAAUCGACAGUCUUUCCCACGGCGUUUCAUCUCGUGCAGCAAAGUAGCAACGCAACGAGCUCCUGUCAGAGAUUCAACAACCAUUAGCUAAUCUUACUCUCUGAUCUCUUGACUUGACUGCAGCAUAUUACAUUUUCAAGAGUUUGGUUGAGAGUAUUAACCAACACUCUUUGGCUUGGUGAACAGAAACAAUAAUAGUAUUUUCAUAGCUACGUUCUUAUAUACCUGUAGCGCCCAAAGGAUGUCCGAUGGCCAUUGCGCCUCCAUUGACAUUGACCUUCUCUGCGUCAAGUCCCAACUUGUUACGGCAAUAUAGAAACUGAGAUGCAAAUGCCUGAACACACAAGAAUCAAAACCCGAGGGUGGUGGCAUCAGAAUGUGCGGGACGAGAUAUCUGGUGAGAAGAAGAUCAUGAAAGUAUUUGCUAUUUACCUCGUUAAUCUCAAACAAGUCGAUGUCAUCGAGUUCUAAACCAGCUGCCUUAACUGCAGCAGGAAUGGCAACUGCUGGACCGACACCCAUGAUUGCUGGAUCAACACCAACUGCAGCAAAUGUCCUGAAAAGUUGUCCAAUAACGUGCUACUUAAGAAAACCAAUAAAUGUCGGAAAAUACAGAAAGAACAAUGUAUGCUGUCCAGAUACUAGCAUAUAUGUGUGAAUGAACAUCACAACGUCUCACCCACCUGAAUACACCAAGAACGGGAAGUCCUUUUUGGGUAGCAACACUUCUCUUCAUGAGGAGAACAGCUCCUGCACCAUCACUUACUUGACUGGAGUUUCCUGUUUGACAAGGAACACAUGACGCAAAUGGAUUCAAGUUUGUGAUAAAAAGAAGUGUCUCUCUGCAACGAAAGAAUCGAUUUUUGGGAAAAGUACCAGCAGUUGUGGUGCCGUCCUUUUUAAACACAGGCUUCAGCUUCCCAAGAGUAGCAAGAGUUGUGCUUGGUCGGAUCCCAUCAUCAACAGAAACUGUAAUGGGUGUCUCAUCACCUGUCUUUGGGUCAACAAGCUGAAAAUAAAGAAAACACAAGUUAUCAACAACCAGAAGAACAUGAUCGAAGUUCAGGAAUUAAUGCACCAAUACAAGUCUUAGUUACAGUUAUUGUAUGGAGGAUCAGGAAUAAACCUUGGUUUGAACAGGAAUGAUCUCAUCCUUGAAUUUACCAGCAGCAGUAGCAGCUGCUGCCUUUCUGUGCGAGUCGACCUAGCAAUAUGACUUGAUAACUUAGCAUCAAGAGCUCAAAUUUAUGAAUUUAUCUGAAAUUACAACGAUACUAAAUAAAAAAAUUCAGUUCCCUUACAGCAGCUUGAUCUUGCUCCUGCCUUGAAACACCAAAGCGGUGUGCUACAUUUUCUGAAGUAACACCCAUAGGGAGAAGACAACUCUGUGCUUGCGCAAACUUCUUCACCUGCAAUAACAUAAUAGGUUCUAUAGUGUGCUAUAAAACUUAACAGAGCCCGUUAAGAACACAGAGAAGAGAGAUUUCAGAGACAGUACCGCCGGGUUGACUGACCCUUCCCAUGCCAUCGGAUUGGUAGUCAUGGACUCCAGUCCAGCCCCAAUACCUGCAUCCAACAUCACCGUCAGCUAGACGAACACAAAUACAUCAAGCAAUGUGUAAUCAAAGACAUUUAUUCUCAUACCAAUAUCAUAAAAUCCAGCUUUGAUGGCAGCGGCAACAUCAGCAACAGCCUGAAGCCCAGAGGAACACUGCCUAUUCACGGUUCUUACCGCCACAGUUUCUGCCCAAGGGCAUAACAACAUCAGCAUUCAGAAAGUAGACACAAAGAUUUGUAUACAUAGAAGAAGCAUACCAGGGAAACCAGCAUAGAAAGCAGACAUCCUGCAUUCGCUAGCUCUCUGAGACCCCGGAGCCAAAACAGUACCAACAACAAUGUCACCAACCUCACUCGGGUCAAGAUUAGUCUUCUCAAUCAACGCCUGCACCAAGAAGAUAACACAAUAUAAAAAAAAACAAUAAUAAAGAAUAGAAGAGAAAGCAGACAGACCCUCAAAACAGGUGCAAGGAGAUCAUCAGGGUAAGUAUCCUUGAAGUUGCCACGUUUGGACUUGCAAAGUGCAGUCCUAUGCGCCCUGCAAUGUAUCAAAAUAAAAGCGUGAAUAUUAUAUUAUCACAAGGAUGUUAGAAAGAGACAAGGGACAUACGCAACAAUGACAACAUCAUCUCCAUAGAGAGAGGUCCUCUGGUACGCAGCACUGUCCCCAGCCAAGCAAGCAGAAGCCUAAUACGUUCAAAACGAAAUCGUUAACGAGAUAAAGCUUUGACCUUUAUAAACAAACAAAAAACAAAUAUAAAAUGUAUUGAAUUAAUUUGAUGAUUGAGUUUGUUACAUGGUUCAGACUAUAUAUAUUACAUCGGUUUAAGCUAAAGGAAACUAAACCGACAACUGAUUUAACAUUAAACCGGUAUUCUAUCUAAUACCAAAUUCAAUUCUCUCAAUCAAUUAAACCAAAAACCAAAUUUAAUUCUCUCAAACCAUAGUUUUCAGAUCAUAGGCAGGCAUGCAUCGAAUCAAAUGAUAAUUCACUAUCAAAACUCGAAAUCAAGAUCGAGAACAAUCAGUAUAAUCCGGAAACCUAGAGAUCGCGAUAGAUCGAAAGAGAGAGGGAAAGCUUACAGAGAGAGAGCCUUCGAAACUGUGGGAGGAGGAGGAAGAAGGACGGAGAUGUUCAAGAAGAACUCGUUGCCUCUCGAUCGCUUUCUCCAUUUUCUUUUCUUUUUUUGCAGAUUAAUUUAAAGAUAAUAGAAAGAAAAAAAAACUCGAUCUGGUGUAACGGGAAGGAAGCUACAGUCGUCGGGUUUAUAAGGAAGAUAGCUCACCGCUUUGAACGUUAACUGUUAAUCCUAAAUUAAGGAAUCAAAUUAUCAUUUUUUUCUUUGUUGUUAAUAAUUAAGUGGCUGAUAAUUCCAUUUGGACACACGUUCUCUUAUCCUGUAAAUUUUCGAAUCAAACAGAGUAUUAGCCUUGUCCUUAAACAUAAUCGGAUCUAAAAUUUUCACAUUUAUCAGAAAUAUACAGACACUCCGACCCUAACUCCCAGACAUUAUUUUAGCAUCAUUUUGACACAAAAAUCUUUUCCAAUCCAACACUAAAAAUUACGCAAUUUUAAUGUAACACUAUAAUUUUACACCAAAUCUGACAUUACACUAUUCACUACACUAAAAUACUAUUCACCCCAAUAAAAACUAUUCACUUAAUUUAUUAAUAAAAUAAACAAUUAAAUAAAUAAUAAAUAAAUACAUAAAUAUAUAUAAUAUUAUAAAAUAAUUUUUAAUGUAAAUUUUGGUGUUAUAGUUGGAGGAAAAUGUUUUUUUAGUGUUGAAAUUACACUAAAAUAAUGUGAUUUUGACAAAAAAUAGUGUCUCCGCCAGUUUUGGGCUUUUGAAGUGCGUGCCGUGUAUCUAUUUUCAUCUUCUGGAUCGAGCCUUUUUAAAACGUUUACAAGAUGACCCCGAAUAAUUUAACAACUUAAAUUAGAAAAAUAAUAAAAAUCCCGGGCGUAGCCCGGGUUAAUCCCUAGUUUAAGAACUAAACAAGCACAUUUAGGAAACUAUACGUAGUCGGCUCGUAAAAAUAAAACCUUGAAAUAAAGGACUAAACAACAAAUUCUGAAUUUUUGUAUUUAAUUUGUGUGCUUCUUAGAAGUUAGUGAUGUUGGUAAUUAAGUUUCAACUUUGAACGUAUGUCCCAGCGUAUUUAGUUGAGUAAUUAAGUUUCAACUUUGAAUAAUGGAUAGCGUACGGUCGUUUCAACAUUAUGUAAGAAAAUGUCUAAAAGUAAGUGUUUCUGUACAAGAGUCUUCAUCUUUUUGUGUAUUUGGAUGAUUUCCAGGUAAUUUAAAUAGAUUGACUUCAAAAUUUUCAAAGUUUAUGAGACAUCAUCAAGAGUCUUUCACAUACUCUUGUCGAUUAAACAAAUAAAACUAAUCAAAAUAUAAGAGAGAAAUUAAGAAGAGUCUUUUAUAUAAAAAAACUCACAAAUAUUUGUGAGAGAUUUAAAUCACAUUUAUUUCUUAAUUAGUAUUUCAAUGAUUUUAAAAAUAAAAAUAAUAAUUAAAUAAAUAAAAUAUUCAUAUUUGAGAAAUUCAUAUGAUUUUUACCGUUACUGAUGACCGGAGAAAUUUGAAACGUUUUAAUCAUCCUAUCAACUCACAUGCACCCAUGUCCACUCUUAUUUCUUCAAGUAUUUUCUUGAUUUAUAAGUGCAAGUUUAUCAAUAUGUUUUGUUAAAAUAUAUAAUUUAUUGGAAUAUACAUCAAUUUUGGCAUGUAUAUAACUGAUUUUCUCAUCUACUUUUAGCAUAUAGUAACUAGUUUUCCAAGUGCAAAUUUUGGUAUUGCCCGACACAAAACGGGAAAAAAGGUAUUUUGGGGUGAGAGAAGCUCGACCUCUCGACCUCAGGAUCACUCAGUAGCUAUGAGACCUACGCGCUAGCCAACUGCGCCACCACCGCAAUUGAUAUUGUUGACAUUAGUUUCAAAUUAGUCCUCUGUAAUUAUUAAACAUCAAAAUCAUAACUUCGACCGUAGUAGAAUCUUUUGACAUAUGAAAGUUUCUAAAAUUGCUGCCUGCUGAAAAUUAUAUUAUUUCCAGAAGCAACAACUGUAAUUCGAGAAGACCGAUAUCAUCCAUACAUAUAAUAUUGUAUAGAAGAUUUACCUUCACGUAAUAAAAAAAUAGUAUACUUAAAGCACAUGACCUGGUCAAGAAUACAAGACUCAGGCAAACAUUGGUUGUGCUGCUUUAUUCAAAACAACUAUAAUAAACUGAAGAAAAUGGGAAAAUGGACCAGAUUCUCUCCAAGGAGGAUAUAGAGUGCUGAGGUCACAAAAUAUUCUGAAGAGUGAAAGGGUCUUUGUUGGUUAUUUAUGCACAUCAUAUCUUUUAACGAGCGUCCUUUGACAAAUAGCCCUGCGCUUCAACUUUUCUUGCGUUGCGAAGCUCAUCAACUCCAUCUCCUCUCUCAAACACAGCCG
rnacentral:lncRNA from 1 species